rnacentral:rRNA from 1 species
GACGAACGCUGGCGGCGUGCUUAACACAUGCAAGUCGAACGGAAAGGCCCUGCUUUUGUGGGGUGCUCGAGUGGCGAACGGGUGAGUAACACGUGAGUAACCUGCCCUUGACUUUGGGAUAACUUCAGGAAACUGGGGCUAAUACCGGAUAGGGGCUCCUGCUGCAUGGUGGGGGUUGGAAAGUUUCGGCGGUUGGGGAUGGACUCGCGGCUUAUCAGCUUGUUGGUGGGGUAGUGGCUUACCAAGGCUUUGACGGGUAGCCGGCCUGAGAGGGUGACCGGCCACAUUGGGACUGAGAUACGGCCCAGACUCCUACGGGAGGCAGCAGUGGGGAAUAUUGCACAAUGGGCGGAAGCCUGAUGCAGCAACGCCGCGUGCGGGAUGACGGCCUUCGGGUUGUAAACCGCUUUCGCCUGUGACGAAGCGUGAGUGGCGGUAAUGGGUAAAGAAGCACCGGCUAACUACGUG